rnacentral:rRNA from 1 species
ACGAACGCUGGCGGCAUGCCUAACCCCUGCAAGUCGAACGAACCCUUCGGGGUUAGUGGCGCACGGGUGCGUAACGCGUGGGAAUCUGCCCUUUGCUUCGGAAUAACUCAGGGAAACUUGUGCUAAUACCGGAUGAUGUCUUCGGACCAAAGAUUUAUCGGCAAGGGAUGAGCCCGCGUAGGAUUAGGUAGUUGGUGGGGUAAAGGCCUACCAAGCCGACGAUCCUUAGCUGGUCUGAGAGGAUGAUCAGCCACACUGGGACUGAGACACGGCCCAGACUCCUACGGGAGGCAGCAGUGGGGAAUAUUGGACAAUGGGCGCAAGCCUGAUCCAGCAAUGCCGCGUGAGUGAUGAAGGCCCUCGGGUCGUAAAGCUCUUUUACCAGGGAUGAUAAUGACAGUACCUGGAGAAUAAGCUCCGGCUAACUCCGUG